rnacentral:rRNA from 1 species
UACGUAGGCAGCGAGCGUUGUUCGGAAUUACUGGGCGUAAAGAGUGUGUAGGCGGUGCUCUAAGUUCGGUGUGAAAUCUCCUGGCUUAACUGGGAGGGUGCGCCGGAAACUGGGGUGCUCGAGCGUGGGAGAGGAAAGCGGAAUUCCUGGUGUAGCGGUGAAAUGCGUAGAUAUCAGGAGGAACACCUGUGGUGUAGACAGCUUUCUGGACCAUUGCUGACGCUGAGACACGAAAGCGUGGGUAGCAAACGGG